rnacentral:rRNA from 1 species
CAGCCGCCGCGGGAAUACGGAGGGUGCAAGCGUUAAUCGGAAUUACUGGGCGUAAAGCGCACGCAGGCGGUUUGUUAAGUCAGAUGUGAAAUCCCCGAGCUUAACUUGGGAACUGCAUUUGAAACUGGCAAGCUAGAGUCUUGUAGAGGGGGGUAGAAUUCCAGGUGUAGCGGUGAAAUGCGUAGAGAUCUGGAGGAAUACCGGUGGCGAAGGCGGCCCCCUGGACAAAGACUGACGCUCAGGUGCGAAAGCGUGGGGAGCAAACAGGAUUAGAGACCCCAGUAGUCCCUGUCUCUUAUAC